GAUGAACGCUAGCGGCAGGCCUAACACAUGCAAGUCGAGGGAGAAGCCCUUCGGGGCAGAAACCGGCGCACGGGUGCGUAACGCGUAUGCAACCUACCUUUCACAGGGGGAUAGCCCGAAGAAAUUUGGAUUAAUACCCCAUAAUAUUAUUGGAUGGCAUCAUUUGAUAAUUAAAAUUACGAUGGUGAAAGAUGGGCAUGCGUCCUAUUAGCUAGUUGGAGUGGUAACGGCACCCCAAGGCUACGAUAGGUAGGGGUCCUGAGAGGGAGAUCCCCCACACUGGUACUGAGACAGGGACCAGACUCCUACGGGAGGCAGCAGUGAGGAAUAUUGGUCAAUGGUCGGAAGACUGAACCAGCCAUGCCGCGUGCAGGGAAGAAAUGCCCUUUAUGGGUUGUAAAACUG
rnacentral:rRNA from 1 species